UACGUAGGGGGCAAGCGUUGUCCGGAUUUAUUGGGCGUAAAGAGCUCGUAGGCGGCUCAGUAAGUCGGGUGUGAAACCUCCAGGCUCAACCUGGAGACGCCACUCGAUACUGCUGUGGCUUGAGUCCGGUAGGGGAGCACGGAAUUCCUGGUGUAGCGGUGAAAUGCGCAGAUAUCAGGAGGAACACCAGUGGCGAAGGCGGUGCUCUGGGCCGGAACUGACGCUGAGGAGCGAAAGCGUGGGUAGCAAACAGG
rnacentral:rRNA from 1 species